rnacentral:rRNA from 1 species
AUGCCGUCAACCCUUUUGACCGGCGUCAAAAAAGGGAUUGAGCAAUGGACUUUUCUACUUUCCGUGUUGAAACAUGGAACCAAAUUUGAGUCCAAGUUCUCACAAGAUUCCAUAAGGCGGCCUUGUGCUGGAAGUACUACUAUCCAUAUUGCGAAGAUUCGAAGAGCACUCCGCAUGGUCGAAGAAGAACGAUUCACACCAUUCAGGGUGCGGAUCGGCCCUUACCAUGAAGCGUCAAUGGUGCAACCCUCGGAAAACAAUCCCCAUGAUAAAAAGGGGAAAGAAGUCAUGGAAAACGAGCAGAAUAAGAGCGUCUUGGUCGACAGGUUAGUGAGUGUGCUUCUUGAGCAACCUGGAGAGCUGGAGAAUCUGAUGGCAAGGGCGAUGGAAUGCUACGCAGAAAAAAAGGGGAAACAACCAUGUGAUAACGAACUACGUAUCACAGAGCAGGAGAAGAGCGUCUUCGUCGACAGUUUUUUGAGUUUGACUUUCGAGGAUAGGAAGGAGGAAGCCCCGCAAUUGACUCUCCAAGAGCAUAAGGCUCAGGUAAUCGAAGAUCUGAAGAACCUGAAGACGAUGAAAUGCUACGCUGGUAAUCCGAGAGCUGAAGAAACUGAAGAAGCCUUCGCGGAUAUGAUGAUGCGCGACGGGAUAUAUGUUCUCUGUUUACUUGUGGACAUGAUAGAAACAUCCCCUGGAGAAGGAGACGUUCGCCCGGACGAGAUUGAUUUGUUACGGGACGUGGUGUUCCUCAUUGAGAAUCAGAUACCUUGGAUCGUCCUCAAGGAGUUGCAAAGGCUAGCUGGCUACAGCAACGAGCCAGGCCUCCUCUGCACACGUGUCCGGGAUCUGCUGGCCGAAGGGCGCUACAUCACAAAGGCAACGCCGGAGUCGCCAGCAAAAGAACCUGCUCACCUGCUGCACCUGGUGCACACCUACUUCGCCCCACCCAAAUCUGGUGUAGCAGCAAUUGACAUCGUCAAGAACAAGGGAACAGGUCCAUGGAAACGGGCGACGCUGUACCGCAAGUGCGCCUACGUGGAGUUCAAGCGUCGGGAGUUCGAGGCCGGGGUGGAAUCCAUCCUUGACGUGAGCCUUCAGGGAGGCACUCUCCUCAUCCCUUGCUUGCAGAUCGACGGCAACACGUGGACCAUCCUACGCAACCUGAUGGCGCUGGAGGAGCAGAUGUCGGAGAGGCCGGUGACGACAUACUGCGUUUUCAUGUCGCAGUUGGCACGCCAGGCUGAGGACGUCGAGUUCCUCGAGCAUGAAGGUAUCAUCAUUAAUUUCCUGGGCAGCAACGAGGUGGUCGUAAAAGGCUUCUCCAACCUCUGUGAGGGAGUGAUCACCGACAAGCCAAGCUACCUCUACGACAUUUGGCACACGCUGGACAAGCGCUCCAAGAGUCCAUGGAACAAAUUCAUGGGAUCAUUCAUGGAGAGGAACAUGCUCGACAAUGUGCAGUUCGUGGCAUUCAUUGGCGCCGUCAUUCUGCUUAUUCUUCAAAUAGCUCAAGUAAUUAUUGGGUCCCUCUCCUUAAUUAAUAAGCAGAAAUAG